AUAUAUAUAUGCAUAGAAAACUGUUAUCUUACAUGUAAAAAAACAAAACAAAACAAUCCUGAAGUAAUAGUAAUACAAAGCUAGUGAAGAUACUCC